CGGCGGACUGCUCAGUAACACGUGGUACAACCUACCCUCGGGUGGGGGAUAACCUCGGGAAACUGAGGCUAAUACCCCAUAGGCCUCGGAUACUGGAAGGUUCCGAGACCGAAAGCUCCGGCGCCCGAGGAUGGGUCUGCGGCCUAUCAGGUAGUUGGUGGUGUAAAGGACCACCAAGCCUACGACGGGUACGGGCCCUGAGAGGGGGAGCCCGGAGAUGGACUCUGAGACACGAGUCCAGGCCCUACGGGGCGCAGCAGGCGCGAAACCUUCGCAAUGCGCGAAAGCGCGACGAGGGGAGCCCGAGUGCCCUUCCUUUCGGGAGGGCUUUUCUGGAGCCUAAAAAGCUCCAGGAAUAAGGGCUGGGCAAGACGGGUGCCAG
rnacentral:rRNA from 1 species